rnacentral:rRNA from 1 species
UUUUUGGAGAGUUUGAUUCUGGCUCAGAACGAACGUUGGCGGCGUGGAUAAGGCAUGCAAGUCGAACGAUCUUUUCAGGUUUCGAGGUCGCAAGGCCAAGAGACUUGAUUUGAUAGUGGCAAAAGGGUGAGUAACACGUGGGUAAUCUCCCUUCGAGUCUGGGAUAAUCCGCCGAAAGGCGGACUAAUACCGGAUAAGACCACGACUACUUCGGUAGACGUGGUAAAAGAUGGGGAUCGCAA